rnacentral:rRNA from 1 species
GAUGAACGCUAGCGGGAGGCCUAACACAUGCAAGCCGAGCGGUAUUGUUUCUUCGGAAAUGGGAGAGCGGCGUACGGGUGCGUAACACGUGUGCAACCUGCCUUUAUCUGGGGGAUAGCCUUUCGAAAGGAAGAUUAAUACUCCAUAAUAUAUUGAACGGCAUCGUUUAAUAUUGAAAGCUCCGGCGGAUAGAGAUGGGCACGCGCAAGAUUAGCUAGUUGGUGAGGUAACGGCUCACCAAGGCGAUGAUCUUUAGGGGGCCUGAGAGGGUGAUCCCCCACACUGGUACUGAGACACGGACCAGACUCCUACGGGAGGCAGCAGUGAGGAAUAUUGGUCAAUGGGUGCAAGCCUGAACCAGCCAUCCCGCGUGAGGGACGACUGCCCUAUGGGUUGUAAACUUCUUUUGUAUAGGGAUAAACCUACCCUCGAGAGGGUAGCUGAAGGUACUAUACGAAUAAGCACCGGCUAACACCGUG